GGAACUUCAGUGACUCCGGUGAGUGUGGGGAAGAACUGGGACUCCAUGAAGCGACCCUGCGGGGAGUCCAGAGAGAAAGGAGUCUCCCCAGGAUGAUGUGCUGGCAGGAGGAAAUAGCAUAAGCCCCCGGCCCAUCGGGACAGCAAUGACACUGAAAGCAGUGGUGCAGACAGUGAGGGAGCAGCCAGGGUCAAUCCCGGCAUGAGGCACAUGCAAAAGACGCAGAGAAUGUGCCUCGUUAACAAGGCAAUUAGUGAUAGAGACUGUGAUAGCAACAAAGUAUCUGUAAGGCAUCCGGCGCUGAGUUCCCUUAUCGGGAGCUCAGACGUCCCUCGCUAAUGAUGCAAUUAGCGAGGCUACUGUAAAGCUGCAACACCCUGCUGGGAAAUAAAGUAACACUGUGACAAGUUACCACCUGGGUGGCGUUAGUGAUUCCUAGUGCAGAAAGACCACUGAAACCCUCUUCUUUUCCUUUUUAUCUAAGUCAUGGCAGACGAGCCCAGAGGGAGAUGGAAUUAGGCUCGAUCACCCAUUCGCAAUGGCAGGAGAGUUGGAGAUUUGUUCAGAAAGAGUAAGCUAUUUUUUAACCUGGCAGUAUUCCUCUUUGGCCAGUUUUAGAUUCCAGUUCUGUAGGCCAAGAUGGUUAACCUGUACCCUGCAAGUCCUCAUCAAUGAGGAUGAGGGAGUUGAGUCAAGCCUUAAGUCAGAUGUCACUGGGGUGAUGUACCUACAAAACCCAUUUACACUGUAAAGUGAAACACGCUCCCAAAAUAGAGCAGUUCUUUCCUAGAACAGUGUGUGCACUGAAGUCCUCAAGAGUUAGCCGGGGUUCCUUCAUGACUACAGUCUGAAUUGAGAUGAACCAGAAUUAAUUUACUUGCCAGAAUCAAGCUGGCAAGCUUUUCCCCCCGCAUAGGAUGUGCUGAGUUUUACUCAGACUUUAACAAAAACAGUCUUGAUGAGAAUAAAUUAUGGCGUAUUAGAAACUCUACAUUUAAGUUGGGCUAUCAAAGCUUUACAAUGAAUCACCUCAGGAUUACAGAGGUUUAAGGAGCAGACCAUUAACAUUUGCAGCCAAGCUUAUAGGUCAAAGUGUCAUAAAAAUGAAAUUUCAGCCACGCUAAAUUUACCUAGCAAACAAGUCUGAAGUUAGACAAGUGUGGCAAGAAUCUUUUACAUAGGUGGGUAGAUGGCAUCCAAGUGAAAUGAGAGCAACAUACAGAAAUGUAGAUUCCUCUCUUUUUCUAUCACGCCCAGCAACACAUAGGAGCUAUAGCUAAGUAAAUGCAGACAGGAACUAGUUAUAGCAGGCAUACCUAAAUCACCGACCAUUAGAUUCAAAACUCAGGUCCUUAUCAGUUUCCUUGUAAAGAUCUCAUCAACUCCUGGCACCACACUGUACAAAUGUGUGUACAGUGUGUGUGUACAAUGUGUACACACACAUUGUACCAGAUUAUCAAUGCAAGCUCUUGUAGCACCACUAUAAAGCAUCACCGGAAUUCAUUGGUCUAGGCUGCUAGGAAAUGCCCAUCAGUAAUUUUACAGUAGCUGAAGGACAUGUACAGAGAUUCUGCAUUUCCUCCAACAAGCUAGCAUUCUGCCAGCCCAAGCUUAGGUUCUUUAGUAUAUCGUCACAGAGUCAGUCUCAGCUAUCAGUCCCUCUACAGUGGAUCCAUUGUACAGUGAAUGCCAAUUGUUCCUGUACUUUGCAAAGCUGUACUCUCCGUGAAGAAUAUUUUUAGCACUCACAUGGAAUUCUAAUGAGCUCUUUGGCCUGAUUUAUAGACAUUCUGCAAACUAAGGUGUGUACUGGACCAACAAACACCCAGCUGAGACACACCAUCAUAUAUAUACAAGUUGAGCACAUACUGAGACAUUUUCAGUAUUAGAUUACACUGAUUGGCCCUUUUAUAGGGAUCGUGCUUGCCUAAUCUCCCUUCUUCCUGCCACAUUCUGUCUCUUUCAUGUCCCCUCACUAAAAUAAGUCAUUUCAAAACUUUUUUGAGAGGUAUUCUGUUUUCUUUGUUCAUUUCUAGGUCUCCCUUACUCCUGCUAUACUGCAGCAGGGCACUAAGGUGCCUGCUACUGAGAGAGCUGGGAAGACUCCUCAGGUGCCGGUUGCUGAGACAACUAGAGGGAGCUAAUGGUCCGCACCUGCCUAGCCAUCUGACAAGAAGGGGCAGGGCCUGGCUCCUAUAUAAACCACAGGCAGGAGGCCAGGUGGCAGUUCCCUACCAGUAGCCAAGGAGGGAAGUGCUCAGCCAUUUUACAAAGGAGAGGCCUGAUGAAGGAGCUGCAUCUGAUACUGUAGAGAGAGAAAGGAUCCCUGGAAUUGGAUGAGACUGCACUCCAGAGAUGUCAUAAAUUGACUGAGGUGCCAGACGGCUGAAGAGUCAGCCUGUGCUGAUAAAAUCAUACCUAAGCAUCGCUAUUUCUAUGAUUAGGGGAAAAGAAGCUCACACCAGGGUAAUCAAAAAUGGACCUUAAAAGAAGCUGGUUUCACAAUCGGGUGAGGGAGCCCUUUUCUACAGACUGGCUGCUUCAGAUAUAAAGCAAGAAGCUCUACCUUGCCUGAAAAAUCAAGGGUUAACUGUACAGCAAUUACAUCUGUUUGACGUUUCUAACUGGCUACUAUAAUAGUGUGCGGCUACGUUACCCCAAGGUCACCAUUAUGAAAGCUCCCACGUACCCGUUUGAGCUGCUGCUUACAGGGCAUAGUGAUAUAGUUAAAUCCCUGAAACUGGACAUUGUGGCAUUUUGGCUGAGGGGAGGAAAACAAGGCUGGGAUUCACAGCUUUCACCAGGUUAUGGACACUUUCUGAGAGGGCUUGUCAUUUGCCCCACUGUCUGCCCCGAGGUGCCCGUGCAGCUGCCGCCAGCAUACAGCUGAUGCUGGAGCUGUGCAACCUGGUGGAGCUGUUUGCACUCUUCCCACUGCUUGGUGCAGCUGCCCAGAGUGCGGACUGGCUACAAACAGCUGCGCUGGGCUCGUCACCUCCGUGCCGGGAGCCAGGGAGAGACCGGGACUGUACUGCCUCAGGCCCCCCACCGCCCGCUCCGAGGCGCAUCUGCACUUGCCGGUGCAGAGCUGGUGCCGGAGCCCGGCACAGCUGUUUGGAACCUCCAAGCUGCAGCUGACCCCGGCUCUGGGGAGUUGCUUGCCAGCUGGGAUCCCAGGCUGCUCCCAGCAGGCAGCUGGAACGCUGCAAGCCCUGCUGGGAGCAGUCCAGGCUCUGUUGCUGGCAGCAGCUACACGGAGCUGGCACUGGCCUUGCAUGCCAAGCAAAAUGGCCUUGCAUGUCACACUUGGCACACGUGCCAGGGUUUGCCAACCCCUGCAGUACACAAACAAUUAAGAGGGGAGGGAACAACACCCCUUCCCCCACAU